rnacentral:rRNA from 1 species
CUUGAACGCUGGCGGCGUGCUUAACACAUGCAAGUCGAGCGGUAACAGGCGUAGCAAUACGUGCUGACGAGCGGCGAACGGGUGCGUAAUACAUGGGAAUCUGCCCUUUGGUGGGGAAUAACCCGGCGAAAGCCGGGCUAAUGCCGCAUGAGAUCUUCGGAUGAAAGCGGGGGAUCGUAAGACCUCGCGCCGAUGGAUGAGCCCAUGUCGGAUUAGCUAGUUGGUGGGGUAACGGCUCACCAAGGCGACGAUCCGUAGCUGGUCUGAGAGGACGGCCAGCCACACUGGGACUGAGACACGGCCCAGACUCCUACGGGAGGCAGCAGUGGGGAAUAUUGGACAAUGGGGGAAACCCUGAUCCAGCGACGCCGCGUGUGUGAAGAAGGCCUGCGGGUUGUAAAGCACUUUCGAUGGGAACGAAAUGUGCCGGGCUAAUACCCCGGCAAGCUGACGUUACUCAAUGAAGAAGCACCGGCUAACUCUGUGCCAGCAGCCGCCGUAACAC